rfam:Lupinus angustifolius cultivar Tanjil chromosome LG17, whole genome shotgun sequence.
GUUGAGGGGAAUGUUGUCUAGUUCGAGACCAUUCUUUUGAAGUGAAAAAUAUCAGUAAAUGAUUUCGAAUCAGACUUCAUUCCCCUUAAC